UACGAAGGGGGCUAGCGUUGCUCGGAAUCACUGGGCGUAAAGGGUGCGUAGGCGGGUCUUUAAGUCAGGGGUGAAAUCCUGGAGCUCAACUCCAGAACUGCCUUUGAUACUGAAGAUCUUGAGUUCGGGAGAGGUGAGUGGAACUGCGAGUGUAGAGGUGAAAAUUCGUAGAUAUCGCAAGAACACCAGUGGCGAAGGCGGCUCACUGGCCCGAUACUGAC
rnacentral:rRNA from 1 species